rnacentral:rRNA from 1 species
GAUGAACGCUGGCGGCGUGCCUAAUACAUGCAAGUCGAGCGAACAGACGAGGAGCUUGCUCCUCUGACGUUAGCGGCGGACGGGUGAGUAACACGUGGAUAACCUACCUAUAAGACUGGGAUAACUUCGGGAAACCGGAGCUAAUACCGGAUAAUAUAUUUAACCGCAUGGUUCAAUAGUGAAAGACGGUUUUGCUGUCACUUAUAGAUGGAUCCGCGCCGCAUUAGCUAGUUGGUAAGGUAACGGCUUACCAAGGCGACGAUGCGUAGCCGACCUGAGAGGGUGAUCGGCCACACUGGAACUGAGACACGGUCCAGACUCCUACGGGAGGCAGCAGUAGGGAAUCUUCCGCAAUGGGCGAAAGCCUGACGGAGCAACGCCGCGUGAGUGAUGAAGGUCUUCGGAUCGUAAAACUCUGUUAUUAGGGAGGAACAAAUGUGUAAGUAACUAUGCACGUCUUGACGGUACCUAAUCAGAAAGCCACGGCUAACUACGUG